CUAUGUAUGGUACAACAAGAAUGAAAUGUUGACAUAUUAUGUGUUUGCUGACUUCUCAAUGCACCCUGAUGUGAUAUUGAGAUGUGCAUACACUUCUUUAUAACUUUGCCUUUCCCCCUAUAACAUGGAGUUUUGUUUGACCCAUAUGUUAGAAUUUGGUCAUUACUCUAAAUUUGUAUGUAUGCAUGAACAAGAGGUGGAUAAUUGAAUAGUUUAUGUUAUAUUAUAUAAUGGGCACUGAUAGUUCUUGAUUCUGAUUGGCUGGGAGGUGUCAAUUAAGGACAGAUCAUAUAUUUCAGGUCUGUGUUUUUAUGUUUUUGUUCAAGGAAAUCCAUUAAUAUGUCAACUGCCAACUUUGUAGUCUUGAUAUUUUUCUUGUGUUCCUCCUCCAUGUGCUGUUUCUGCUUCUGUUUUGUGUCUGAUGUUUUCUAUUUCUUACUCAUGAAAAGCAGCCUUUCCACUCUUUAAAAGUGCCAUGUUCACCAAACACUUUAAAUAAGAUGUUAACGUCCCUGCUUCUCGUGUUUAUUUCUUUAUCCAGAAGUUGUUUUAUGUGAAACACAAGCGAAAAUAAGGCGCUUUUGUGAUACUGUGAAGUACUGAAGCUUCAGUAGAUUGCUGUGGUUACCUACAGUUAAAUACAGAUGCAUUAAUUUAGAAUGGCAGACAAAUACCUGCAUUAUGACAUUAUUUCUGUCCAGUUACUCAAAGAUAACCCGCACCCUCUAGCCAAUAAGACUCUAGUCUGGUACAAGGAGAAUACUUCACAUCAUUCAGUACAAUCAUAGAACUUACACCUCAUAACAUCCAAUCCACUACAAUCCAGCCUCAAACAUUUCCACAGUUCUAAAUUAAAGUAUUACUGUUGUUUUGUCCAUCUCCUGUUUUUGUUCUUUCUUAAUGAUUUGAACACUUUAGUGCUGACUUGCAAAUGUGACACGUUCCAGUUAGCAUUCCGGGUCAUCAAACAGAGGUAGGGGUCAUUGUCAGUGAGGGCCGUCAGCACCAAAGAAUCUCCCACAGGAAACACUCUGGCACAAGCUUUUUUACUGCCACAGCAGCUGAGGAAAAAUGCCUCUGUAUUUUGUUCCCUGAUGCUGUUGUCCCAGGGAGAGUGUGAUGAUAAGGUUACAGAAUAUUGGCAAUUAACCUGGUUUACAUUUGUCAAAUGUGUUCAUUAUCACAUGAACAUUACGGGACGUUCAAACCAACCAACUUGAGUGUCUGUAAUCAAAUUUAACUUUUACUUUGAGCUGAUGUGUCUGUUUGCUUGUCAUUGUUUACAGAAUGACUGCAAGAGUUUGCAGUGUUGUCGGAGCCAAAUAGUCUGCUGACAGGAUGGAUUAUGUUCCUCUCGAUUUACAUUUUAUUGGAAGUAAAGCACUGAACCUUGACCCGCUACAUCCAUGGCCACAUCUGCAGUGACUACAAGCCACACAAACCCCAGGUUUGUGAGCCAAUGGGAAGACAGUAGGGUCUCCAGGCAUGAGGUGUGACACUUCCAUCGACAGCGGUCUGUGAGGCUGCAGUGUGUGUGGUCAGUCUGUCUUUGUUUGCUACUGCUGGAGUUGGCAGCUCUGCUCUACUUCACUCGAUGUGUCUGGGUGAUGGGGUAUAAAGUACCGUUGCAGUUGAGUUCCACCUUUCUUAAAACCCUGGAAUGUGCACGCUCUAAAUUGCCCAGGUGCUGCACUGCCCUCAUAAUGUAGCUCUGCCUUUUUCUUCUUGUUUAGUAAUACAUAGAAAAGUGACGUUAGAAGCUUUUUCGAGAACCGCUUGUUCAAAACAUUUUGCACUGCACUUCCUUGAUUCCACAGCAAUACACCAAAUUUAAGUCGAUCAGAACAUCCUGCUCAGGAUAAAAAAAAAAUUUUAAAAAAUCACCAUAAACAUCAAGCCCUGCACACCAGCUCUUUUUCUUUUGUUGAUAACUGAGUUUCCUUUUUUCCCCCUAAGUUUAAAUUAGUCAUUUUUCUAUAAUUCUGUACACCCACACCAAACCAAUCUGAACUGUAUGGUUUCUGUCCGAGGAAAAGUGCAAAUAAACCAUAUACUGUGUGAGGAUUAUGUUCCUCCCUCCUUGUGUGUUUACAUCCACCACUUGCAGUGCCUGUGCUUGCAGGCGUUAUGACACACUGUUAAUAUGUCAAUAAAACCUGUUUACUUCACCUGUA